CACGUAGGGGCCGAGCGUUGUCCGGAGUUACUGGGCGUAAAGGGCGCGCAGGCGGCGGCGUGGGCCCGGCGUGAAAGCCCCCGGCUCAACCGGGGAGGGUCGUCGGGGACCGCGCCGCUUGAGGGCGGUAGGGGCCGGUGGAAUCCCCGGUGUAGUGGUGAAAUGCGUAGAGAUCGGGGGGAACACCCGUGGCGAAGGCGGCCGGCUGGGCCGACCCUGACGCUGAGGCGCGAAGGCGUGGGGAGCGAACGGG
rnacentral:misc_RNA from 1 species